rnacentral:lncRNA from 1 species
ACGCUCCAUCUCCGCUCGUACCGCUUCGCGAGUAAGUGAGGCUCCGGAUCGCGUCCAAGUGGCAUCUAACGGCUACCAGCAACCCACGGGUCGCUGUUCACUUUCCGGCAACCAUCUACAACAAUCCCCUGCUUUCGUUUUUCUUUUCUACUUUCACCAACUUGUAAGGCUAUAAAGCCAGGGCUCCAGCUCGAUCUAGGGCAUGAAAAUUUGUUAGGGUUUCCCCCUUCCGCCGCCAGUGUUCCUGGCUGGCCUUAGGUUCCUCCUGGAUUGUGCUAAACUCUCUGAAUUAAGCCUGUGAAUCGUGCUAGUUCGAGUGAAAUUCUCCCCUGUUUCUCUGAAUAUUGUUCUUCAGACUCCUCUGGGUCUGACAUACCAGGGCAUCUUGUGCGUCACCGUGCGGUGUGUGUUGAUGAUGUACAAGAUUUCUACUCUGCCGAGCAUCCAAUCCAGCACCCAUCUAGAAGUUUUAUAGAAGAAGGUUUUCCUUUAGUCUGUUUUAUAGUGAUUUAAUUUAUUCUCUUGUUUAUAUAUCAAUUUUUUAUUUGAUUUUGACAGGUGAUAUCUUAUUUGUGACAUGAAGAGUAAGAGAGCCACAUGUCAAUCAUAAGGAGGUGUUUUUGGGAACGUUUAUAUGUUCCAAUCAUGCUAUGUAUCUUCUACAAUUUUAUUGACAAUUGGUCUUUAUGCUUGUUUCAGAUGGAGCUGCUGGCAUUAUGACAGGAAACCACUAUUAGCAUCUGAGGUUGAUCAAACAUGGAAGCCAUCUAUGUAUAUUUAUCUAUAUCUGUUUGUACAUAAUGAAACUUGUGAGCUAACACCUGAAAUAUUUUUAGAUUAGCACUGCCUACAGUAUAAUCUAAGUAUUAAUGAUCCAUUAAUAGGUCUGAUCUAUAACAAUAGGUCUGAUCUAUAAUAUGAACACUAUCUGAUGCACCAUAUACGUUUCUCUAUAUUGUAGAGAGCAACAUUCAUGGCAUUAGCCUUCUGUAGAUGGGUGAAAAGUAUGAAGAACCUGACACCAUUAAGACAUGAAGCCACACCUAUAGGAUUCUACAUAAUCAACCUUCUGAGGUAACAUGUCAAAUAUUUUUAGAUGAGGACUGCAUAGAGCAUAAUUGAACCAUCAUUGAUCCAGUAAUUGGUAUGAUUUAUAAUUUCGUUCAGAUAGAACUUACUUGAUGUUGCCUGAUUGCUCAAUGGAGCUGUCUUGUGGCCGCUGGAGGAAGACAACUCCAAAGUGCUAAUUCUGAAGUUGAUCUCGAAGUUUGAGUCGCUGGAGGAAGAUGAUGUGGGAGGAAGAUGAUGUAGAAGUUGUAACUUAAAAUCUUUGGACAAUGAACCUAUGAGGUCAUGGGGAAGGUUUAUAUGGACGGUUAAGUUUCUCAUGUUUGCACGAUGGAAAAAAGUUUUUUUGGAUCCCGUCUGGACACAUUCUAUUUGGAGAGAGAUAUGAUAGUUUUGGUUUGUUUAGGCACAUUAGAACUUUUUUUUUCUGGGAUGGCCUCAUGGUUGUAGUUUUCUUGAGAAAAGCUGAUGGCAUGGUCCAUCCUGUAUGUGUGUGAUGGCCCAACCUAUAUGUUUUUAUUGUUUAAUGAUGCAUGAUGCAUGCGUGUUUCUGAUCCCUAACGGGAUGGUCCAUCCUAUUGGGGUUGUGGUUGGAUCAUGAAAAUCAACGUGAAGUCAUC